rnacentral:lncRNA from 1 species
CUAGCUGUACCUGGAUCACAACAGAGCUCCACUAGUUGCCACAAAAGGAAGGCAAAUGCAUCAGCUAGAGCAAUUUCUACAGAGAAGGCAAAGAGAACAUGCACUGGUCUUGGUUUACAAUCUAGGAAGUCUUCACAGGAUACAGUCAAUCUUGACAUCGGUAAGAGGAGAGUGAUAAGGACUUCUGCCACUGCAAGGGUGGCAACAAUUCUAGGGGGAACAGCAACAAUGAACCUGCAUGCUCAUGGACGAUCAGCACAUGCCUCAUCAAAUGUGACCAUUACCGUGACUUCUGGAACUGCAAGUGCUCAUGUGCAAACUCAUGAACCAGCUCCUAGAAGCAAUUCACCACAAAGAAAGAGAAGGCUACCACAACUUCUACUAUCACCCCCAAGAUCUGAUGGCAAUGAGUAG